rnacentral:tRNA from 1 species
GGCAGGAUAGCUCAGUUGGUAGAGCAGAGGACUGAAAAUCCUUGUGUCCCCGGUUCGAUUCCGGGUCCUGCCACCA